AGUGAACGCUGGCGGUAUGCCUAACACAUGCAAGUCGAACGGCAGCACCGUAAGUGUUUGCUCUUACGGGUGGCGGGUGGCGGACGUGUGACGUAUGUAUCGUAAUCUUCUCUUUCGUGGGGGAUAACGUAGGUAAACUUACUCUAAUACCGCAUACGACGUACUGGGGUAAGCAGUGGAUCUUUUGGCCUUUCGGGGUUGAAUUCGCCGAUGUCGGAUUAGCUGGUUGGCGGGUGAAAGGCCCACCAAGGCGACGAUGCGUAGCUGGUCAGAGAGGAUGGUCAGCCACCUGGGAAGGGAGACAGCGUCCCGACGCCUACGGGAGGACGCAGUCGGGAAUAUUAGGCAAUGGGGGCAAGCAUGAUACAGCCAUAGCGCGGAGGGGAAGAAGGCCUUCGGGUUGUAAAGCCCUUUUGUUGGUAGAGAAAAGCAGCAGGUUAAUACGCCGCUGUACUGACGGUACCCGAAGAAUAAGCACCGGCUAACUACGUG
rnacentral:rRNA from 1 species